GCAGGAAAGGAGGGGGGAUGGCGGGCAGGGAUGUGGCAAUAGGGAUGGGGGGUUCCCAGGACCCUGAGGGACUUUGGGAUGCUCCAAAGUGGAUGGGAUGGCCAAGGUGGGUGGGGUGGGAUGCCCCAAGGAUGAUGGGAUGCUCCAGGAUGCUCCGAGGUGGAUGCAGAUGGGAUGCUAAGGAUGACGAUGGAUGCCCCAAGGAUGAUGGGAUGCUCCAGGAUGCUCCAGGAUGCUCCGAGGCAGAUGCAGAUGCGAUGCUGAGGAUGAUGAUGAUGGAUGCUCCGAGGACGAUGGGAUACUCCAGGACGCUCCAGGGUGGAUGCAGAUGGGAUGCUGAGGAUGAUGAUGAAUGCCCCAAGGAUGAUGGGAUGCUCCAGGAUGCUCCAGGAUGCUCCAGGAUGCUCUGAGACAGAUGCAGAUGGGAUGCUGAGGAUGAUGAUGGAAGCUCCGAGGACAACGGAUGCUCCGAGGCGGAUGCUGAUGUGAUGCCCUGAGGACAGCACAAUGCUCCAGGCCAGCAGCUCCUGCCCCUCUCCGUGCAUGUCCAGCAGCUCCCUGUGCCCACAGCCCCGCUGCCAGGCAGGACCCAGCGUGCCCAGAGUGUCCGUGCCCACCAAAACCCCCAAUAAACACACUGUGACCCCCAGCCCUGCCCGUGUAUCCUUCCAGCCACGGCGUGCCCGCGCUAUCCCGCAUUCUGCGGCACCAGCGAGUGGGAAUUCCUCAUUUCAGGGUGCUCCAAGCCCUGCACACGGGGUUUUUUCCAGCAGAAACCUCGGCCCACAGUGCGGGUGGGAAGCAGGAGGUGUUUCCCCAGGGAGGGGAGUCCCCGCUGGACUGGUUUUCCAAGGGGAGCUCUUCCCUGGCUCCCAGGUGUAUAAAUAUGCAUGUGAAAAACCACCAAUUAAAUAUCAAAUAAA